AUGGCCUUCCUCUCUGUGCAUACUGCAUUUCACUUCAUUCUACGGCCUCUUGGCUUUCUCACUAUGGUCAAUUUGGACAUCCUCCUCUGUGGCCUAGCUAGGCCUUUUCUCUGCGGCCUUCGUGGCUUUCUUUUGUGGCCCGCCGGGGCCGUUCCCACUGUGGCCCGCCGGGGCCGUUCCCACUGUGACCCGCCGGGGCCUUUUCUGUGGCCUAUCGUGGUCUCUCUCACUGUCCGGCCUAUCGUGGCCUGCCUCUCUCUCUCUCACUGUCCGGCCUAUCGUGGCCUGCCUCUCUGCCUCACUGUCCGGCCUAUCGUGGCCUGCCUCUCUGCCUCACUGUCCGGCCUAUCGUGGCCUCUCUCAAGGCUCUGUGGUCUAUCUUCAUUGCCAUAUAAGCUAAUACUUUAGCUAUAAUCUGAUGUUGUAUUCUUAUGUCUGGCUAAUUAUCUCAAUUUAUCUCUUUCGUUCAUGUUCCAGGAUCCUCUAAGAAUACUUCAUCUGGUGCAUAUUACAUUAUUCUUCUUCUUGGGUAGCUCCGCCUGCCUUCGUCAGGAUUAGCUGGUAUCUACAAACUUCAGAUCCAUGCUACGGAUGGGGCCUACGCCAAAAUAAUUAUAUUUUUUGUGUUGUUGUAAAUAAAUACUUCAGUCUUAUCUCUACCUCCCUGAGUCUUUCUGGUAGAACUGGAAGCGUAAGCGAAAGGCUUAUGAUUCAUAAUUAAUCCAUCAGAGGUUUAAAUUAAUCAUAUCAAUCCAUUUAUAUGUGAU
rnacentral:lncRNA from 1 species